UCCUCUCACCCCAGUGGUUUGCAACUUUAGGGUUUCGUCGUUCGCCUCCUACCAUUUCAGCCGACUAACCAUAUUACUCUUGUUACUCGUGUGGGGCCAGCAAAAGUGUUGCGGGUAUCUUUGCCUCUAAGCUGUUCUAUCGACGCUACCGUGCGUUCUGCAGUUUGAGAGGCUUUGAUUCCCGCAUCACUUUUGAUCGCCAACUGCACACUUUACUUUCGACUGUAAAUUUUUAGUACUCAGCAGACUCGCGCCAUUAGUGUGUAGAAUAAUUGCAGUUAUUUGUGCUAAACAUUUUUAACUCUAGUACUUGAUGCAAUCGUUGGAUAAGGAGGCCGUUGCUGGAGCCGCUGGAUGACCUGAUUUGUUUUCCACCAAGCUUAGGAUUGUAGUUAUUAUUAUUCUUAUUUGCCUAAAUUUACAAUCAUUCCGUUUGCAGUAAAAUUCAUGUUUUAUAUCAUGUAAAAAUGUGAUGUGUUGCAACAUCACUGGAAUCUGUAUGUUCAGAAAGUUUGUGAAUUCUGUUUUUUAAAGAAAAAAAAAGAAAAAUAUGCAGGAUGAAAUGGAAAGAGCACUGUAGGA